GGGGGUAUGGCUCAAUGACAGAGCAUUUGCCUUGCAUGCAUAAGGUCCUGGGUUCAAUCCCCACCAACACAA
rnacentral:tRNA from 1 species